rfam:Pongo abelii chromosome 3.
AGCUUUGCACAGUGGCAGUAAUAAAAUAGCUUUUGCAUGGACCACUGAGGUUUAUCUGAGGUGCAGUUAUUCCUCCUUGAAAACUUUUCCCAUCACCCCUCUAUGACAACUUGCAGUAUAGUCAGCAUUGACAAUUUUUGACGAUCUCUAUGGAGA